CACAGAUCAUCCAGGAGGAGAUAAAGCCCUGGUAAACCUCUGGCUGGUUGCAGGUCUUAGUGGAGAGCAGUGGCACCAUGGCUGAGCGCAGAACCACACUGGUCUCUCCUGAAAAAUGCAUGCCAUUUCAAGCAUGUAGGUGUCAGACAGGUGGUGGCUGCUGCAGUUUGGACUGAAACGACCAUUUAGCAGCUUCACAUAAACAACUCCAUUUACCCUAAAAGAUGCAGAUAAAGGUGAAGACUAAUGGAUGGGAGCUGAGGCCUCUGACAUCUGAUACACAUAAUGACUUUGUACUAAGGAGGCCUUAUAAGCAUCUGGGGGCUCAUUUCAAGAGCAAAUGUGGGGUCCUACCCAACCCCAUGAUGAAGCUGGUUGGCACAAAUGCGCACAACAUGACUUUAAUCACAAAUCAUCAAUUUUAGAAAAUAUGUGCAUACAUUAAAUCAUAUUUGUUUAUAGAUGAGACCUUAACCAUAUUCUAAUAUAAAUUAAGCUAGACAAUACAGCAGAAUGAAAAGUGUGCCAACCAACCCUGGUCUCCCCUACACAAGGACGCUGGAGAAGGGCUGGCUGUGGCUCAGGAGGUAGAGCGGGUUGGCCGGUAAUCAGAAGGUCAGCAGUUCAAUCUCUGGUUCCCCCUGGUUGCAUGUCGAAGUGUCCUUGGG